UCCCCAUGUAAAUCAUUAUAUUUUGGGGUGAAAGCUUAGUUUAAGGUUAGGGAAAGGUUAGAUUUAGUUUGAACAGACCUUCAGAGCAAGACCCAAU